rnacentral:tRNA from 1 species
GCCGAGGUGGCGGAAUGGCAGACGCGCUACGUUCAGGGCGUAGUGUCCGAAAGGGCAUGGGAGUUCAAAUCUCCCCCCCGGCACCA